rnacentral:rRNA from 1 species
GACGAACGCUGGCGGCGUGCUUAACACAUGCAAGUCGAACGGAAAGGCCCUGCUUUUGUGGGGUGCUCGAGUGGCGAACGGGUGAGUAACACGUGAGUAACCUGCCCUUGACUUUGGGAUAACUUCAGGAAACUGGGGCUAAUACCGGAUAGGAGCUCCUGCUGCAUGGUGGGGGUUGGAAAGUUUCGGCGGUUGGGGAUGGACUCGCGGCUUAUCAGCUUGUUGGUGGGGUAGUGGCUUACCAAGGCUUUGACGGGUAGCCGGCCUGAGAGGGUGACCGGCCACAUGGGGACUGAGAUACGGCCCAGACUCCUACGGGAGGCAGCAGUGGGGAAUAUUGCACAAUGGGCGGAAGCCUGAUGCAGCAACGCCGCGUGAGGGAUGACGGCCUUCGGGUUGUAAACCGCUUUCGCCUGUGACGAAGCGUGAGUGACGGUAAUGGGUAAAGAAGCACCGGCUAACUACGU